UACGUAGGGGCCUAGCGUUGUCCGGAUUUAUUGGGCGUAAAGAGCUCGUAGGCGGUUUGGUGAGUCGGGUGUGAAAUCUCCACGCUCAACGUGGAGGGGCCACCCGAUACUGCCAUGACUAGAGUCCGGUAGGGGAGUGUGGAAUUCCCGGUGUAGCGGUGAAAUGCGCAGAUAUCGGGAGGAACACCAGUGGCGAAGGCGGUUGCCUGGAGCUUUGCUGACGCUGAUGCGCGAAAGCGUGGGGAGCGAUCCGG
rnacentral:rRNA from 1 species